UACGAAGGUCCCGAGCGUUAUCCGGAUUUAUUGGGUUUAAAGGGUGCGUAGGCGGGUUAUUAAGUCAGUGGUGAAAGCCUACAGCUUAACUGUAGAAUUGCCAUUGAUACUGAUGAUCUUGAGUAUGAUUGAGGUGGGCGGAAUGUGUCAUGUAGCGGUGAAAUGCUUAGAUAUGACACAGAACACCGAUUGCGAAGGCAGCUCACUAAGUCAUAACUGACGCUGAUGCACGAAAGCGUGGGGAGCGAAAC
rnacentral:rRNA from 1 species